rnacentral:sRNA from 1 species
UUGAGGAGGAAGGCAAUGCUCCAAAGGAGCAUUUAUAAUGCCUUCCGACGACCUGCCGCCGACCGUAAGGGAGGGGGCGUUUCAAACA